rnacentral:sRNA from 1 species
CACCGCCUGGGGAGUACGACCGCAAGGUUAAAACUCAAAUGAAUUGACGGGGACCCGCACAAGUAGUGGAGCAUGUGGUUUAAUUCGAAGAUACGCGCAGAACCUUACCAACACUUGACAUGUUCGUCGCGGCUCUAAGAGAUUAGAGCUUUCGGUUCGGCCGGACGAAACACAGGUGCUGCAUGGCUGUCGUCAGCUCGUGUCGUGAGAUGUUGGGUUAAGUCCCGCAACGAGCGCAACCCUCACUUUUAGUUGCCAUCAUUUAGUUGGGCACUCUGAAAGAACUGCCAGUGAUAAGCUGGAGGAAGGUGGGGAUGACGUCAAGUCCUCAUGGCCCUUACGUGUUGGGCUACACACGUGCUACAAUGGCAUUUACAAUAGGAAGCAAGAUGGCGACGUCAAGCAAAUCCUAAAAAGAUGCCUCAGUUCGGAUUGUACUCUGCAACUCGAGUACAUGAAGCUGGAAUUACUAGUAAUCGCGGAUCAGCGCGCCGCGGUGAAUACGUUCCCGGGUCUUGUACACACCGCCCGUCACACCAUGGGAGUUGGUUCUACCUUAAGGCAAGGUUUAAAACCCUUGACCACGGUAUAGUCAGCGACUGGGGUGAAGUCGUAACAAGGUAGCCGUAGGGGAACCUGCGGCUGGAUUACCUCCUUUCUAAGGAUGAAUAAGAAUUAGUUCUUAUUCUAAAUAAUAUAACAGGUUAAUGUUGACCGUCCUCAUUUCUCUUCUUGAAAUAGUGUUUCUCUCUUCUACGUAGGGGCCGGUAGCUCAGUUGGUUAGAGCACACCCUUGAUAAGGGUGGGGUCGAAAGUUCGAGUCUUUCUCGGCCCACCAUAAUUAACUGGGGGAUUAGCUCAGCUGGGAGAGCGCCUGAUUUGCAUUCAGGAGGUCAGCGGUUCGAUCCCGCUAUCCUCCACCAUGAAACACUUAGUUAUUAUAUUUUGUGAAAAAUUUUUUAUAUUAUCAAUAUCUAUAUCCGAUUGUUCGAAUAGAUGAACAAUCAAUUAAUAUUCGAAUAUAUGAAUAUUUAAUUAAAAAAUUUGAUUCUACACAGAAUUUUUUUCUG